AUGUUUGUUGCUUCUUCUUCUUAUCUUCCCUCCUUGCUUUGUUUUCAUUUUUCCAGAUGUUGUGCCUCGUCAAAUUUAAUUUACUGUGCCAUCAUUUUGUUGAGCCGUUCAAUUUUCUUUCUUUCUUUUUUUUUUUCUUUCCUGCCUGUCCCUGAGAUUUUUAAUGGGAGAUUUGUAAGGUGGAGAACAAUCACAAAACCUACCACGCUGGUUAUUGUUAAGUCAUUUUCCAGAAAAAAACAACAGGCAAAGCAGAUAAAUAAGACCAUAUUCAUAACCAGAUUGUUUUAAUUUACAAUAUGGGGUGUCAUACUCCUCAUAUUAAAACCAGUGAGGUAUAGAGUUUUGAGUGUAGGCUAGGACUUCGCUUCUGGAUGAGAAGAAAAUGUUGGUUAUGCCCUACAUGGUUUUGCUAUCGACAUAUCGGAUCCCCCCCCCCCCCAAAAGAUGGACUCAUCCUGAAUUUUGUUGUCAAAUAUGAAUUUUAUUUUAUUUUUAAUUUUAUUGUUUCACCCUUACUUUGGCUUACCACUGUGCAUGAUCUCGGAUUGCUUUGGACCAGGUGUCCUCAAACUUUUAAAGCAGCGGGCCGAAUUAUCAUUUGAAACAAAAAUAUGAACAAAUUUCUAUGCACACUGCACAUGUCUUAUUUGUAGUGCAAAAAACAACAACAAUGAAAGGACAAUACAAUAUUUGAAUAUAAGAACAAUUUUAACCAACAUAAAUCUAUCAGUAUUUCAAUGGAAAGUGUGGACCUGCUUCUGGCCAAUGAGAUAGUCAAGUUAAUUAGGGUUGUUGUUGUUGUUGUUGUUGUUGUUGUUGUUGUUGUUGUUGUUGUGUGCCUUCAAGUCAUGUCAGACUUUGGGCGAGGAUUUCAAUGGAAAGUGUGGACCUGCUUCUGGCCAAUGAGAUAGUCAAUUAGGGUUGUUGUUGUUGUUGUUGUUGUUGUGUGCCUUCAAGUCAUGUCAGACUUUGGGCGAGCCUGAGUCUAAAAUUAUUCAUUUAUUUAUUUACUACAUUUAUAUCCCACCCUUCCCAC
rnacentral:lncRNA from 1 species